AUGGCGCAUGGUGAAGGGUCUGUUCCUUCCAAUGAACUAUCAAUUUGUCAGUUAGCUGAGCGGCAUCUAUAUGAGCCUAAUACUAGUGAAGAGGUCAACCUAGUGAUCAAACAGCAGGUGCUCGCACAUGCGGAUUUGACGCGCCAUCCUCGUGGUUGGAAUGUGGGGUCUACUCUUAGUGACUAUUCUUUUCAUCCACUAGCACCUUAUCCUAAACCUGAUCAUGAAGCCUACACCCUAGGGACCAGGAUGGUAGCAAAAGAUCUAGGUUGGGAUGGUCACACAGUCGAGUAUGUUCCGCAACCCAAAGGCUAUGUUGAGUGGGGCAUCUCUAUAUUUAAUAACUACUCGUUUUGUUUGAAAGGAGAAGCGGAGAACACCGAUUACAUAUAUGGGGCCAUUUAUUGCUCCCUCGGUGAAUAUGAAGUUUCAGAUUCGCUACUAAGGUCAUUACUAGAAAGAUGGGAUCCACAAACAAAUACUUUUCUUUUUUCAUCCGGUGAACGCACUGUGACUCUGCUUGACAUGCUUCUAAUGUCGGGUAUUCCUUCAGUUGGAGAUCCGUACGAAGAAUAUGUUCCCUCGAUAGAUGAUCUAGAACCUUCAAAGCUUAUGUUCUCAAAUUUCUUAUCUGGCCUUUUAGAAGAAUUCUACUGGCUUAGCCGCGAAAACGGGAGUGUGACUUUUCAAGUUUGGUGUGACCAUUUCCAUAACAAACGCGAACACACUUCAUCUUUCACCUCCCUUCGGGAACAGCACAUGUACAUUGCGGCUUUUAUAGCCCACUGGCUUUGCUCUUACGUGGUUGUUGGUGGGGGGCCUUAUAUUCGUCCCGGUGUCCUUCUUAUGGCCUCUUGGAUUGUUUCGGGUCGCAAGAUCUCUUUGGCUCCCUCAGCACUUUGUUCAUUGUAUUAUUCUCUUCGAAGGAUUAGUAUGCACCCCGUCGCUCCCUCUUAUGAGAAAAGGAUUUGGCCAGUGCAUUAUAUCGCAGGGUGGAUGGGUCUUUAUCUAAGAAAACAAUUUAAGGACAAAGUGAAAGGGAAACAUCUUCCAGAUGUUAAGCAAUUGCCGAUGCAACCAACCAUGGUUAAAACUAUGUUACGGGUUCCCAUAACUUUCAGUCCUGCUAGGGCACGCAUUUUCUUUGAUGACAGAGCCAAUAUUUUUUGGAAUCCUUAUACUCCAAAGAACUUAGUCGGGGUGGAUCAGUUGCAAAGGUCCUUCACCAUUUCUUCACAUCGGGGUAUGCUUCCAUGGAGGCGUGCUACUGAUGUUGAUGAUCUUUGCAUAGCGGAGCCAUAUCAUCCUGAUCGAGUUGCACGACAACUUACUUUGAGAAAACAAGUGCCCUAUGCUCUGUUGGUCAGCGUGUACACAAAGGAGGAUACUGGUGUUGCAUAUGCCUAUUGGUUGCAUUUGUUACGCUCGGACCAAGGAGAGUUCCGGUACCUUCUUAAUGAUGCGCAUGAGGCAUUUUCUUCUGUGGCCUGGAACAACUGGUGGGUGGGAUUUAUGAAACCAUUUAACAACAUAUUCAAUACUCUUUGUCCGGGCAUUUCGAAUGGUCCGAAUUAUAAUCCACGAAAACAUAAUUUUCUGAGACACGGGGAGGAAUACAUAAUUCCUCGCAACCUUUCAGAAAAUGAUUUUGAUGUUAUAAAGGAAGUCUCCGCCAGGAGUAAGGAAGAGCAUAUUGCAACCAUCAAAUUGAAUGAAAGGAGAAUUAUGGACCACUGGCGCCCCAUUCUAUCCAUCUUCCUCUCAAAUGAUGAACCUUUAACCAACUCUAAAAAGAUGAGAUAUAUACAUCUAUAUAUAUUUGGUAUUGCCAUAUUUUGUUUGCUCCUUUCUUUGUCUCAUUUUCUUCUAUAUCUCCUUUCAAUAGAAGAAGCGAAAUGUUAA
rnacentral:rRNA from 1 species